rnacentral:rRNA from 1 species
AAGCGGAGGAAAAGAAACCAACCGGGAUUGCCUUAGUAACGGCGAGUGAGCGGCAAAAGCUCAAAUUUGAAAUCUGGUACCUUCGGUGCCCGAGUUGUAAUUUGGAGAGGGCAACUUUGGGGCCGUUCCUUGUCUAUGUUCCUUGGAACAGGACGUCAUAGAGGGUGAGAAUCCCGUGUGGCGAGGAGUGCGGUUCUUUGUAAAGUGCCUUCGAAGAGUCGAGUUGUUUGGGAAUGCAGCUCUAAGUGGGUGGUAAAUUCCAUCUAAAGCUAAAUAUUGGCGAGAGACCGAUAGCGAACAAGUACAGUGAUGGAAAGAUGAAAAGAACUUUGAAAAGAGAGUGAAAAAGUACGUGAAAUUGUUGAAAGGGAAGGGCAUUUGAUCAGACAUGGUGUUUUGUGCCCUCUGCUCCUUGUGGGUAGGGGAAUCUCGCAUUUCACUGGGCCAGCAUCAGUUUUGGUGGCAGGAUAAAUCCAUAGGAAUGUAGCUUGCCUCGGUAAGUAUUAUAGCCUGUGGGAAUACUGCCAGCUGGGACUGAGGACUGCGACGUAAGUCAAGGAUGCUGGCAUAAUGGUUAUAUGCCGCCCGUCUUGAACCACC